GGGGUCCCCUGUAAGCAGGGAAGCUGACUCUUUGGCUGCUGCUUUUUGUGUGCCCAGCCCCAUUUGCCCAGUCUGCCCGCCUCUGUGAUCCCCUGCAGCACUGGCUGGAAGUCCGCCGCGUGUCAGUGAGGAGCUGCUGCAGAAGGAAGAAGAAGCAGCGGCGUGGGGACCUGGGAGGCAGGAGCAAGCAAGAAGAGGAAGCGGAAGCGUGCAGAUGCGGGGGGGAAGGAGAGAGGCUCCCUGGGCAAAGCACCUGUCCCGUUAGCAGGGGCACAGUCACGUUUGAGUUGAGAGCUGCCGGCGCCUUUGGUGACCAGGCUGGCGUUGUGCUGGGCGACCUCCCCGUAAGCGGGGCUCGGGUCUUUGCUGUAGUUGGCCUUUUGCCUUGCUGCUCCUUUGGCUGCCUGGGGAGCGUGGCCCCCUGUAACGGAGGGCGAGAGCCACCUCUCCGCACCUGAGUGGGAAAUGGAGCUCGCCGGACCCCAAGGCCACCCUGUAAGCAGGGUAGUGCCGUUUCCCUGCCCCUCUUCCUCCCCCGGCCCCUCGGCAUCGUUGCCUGAUGGUGGCUUGUCAACGCGACGGCCCCGUACUCGGGGUGUGCGUCACGGCUUUUGGCCGCUGGCUUUACCUGAGAAGCCCCUUGGCACGUUGAGGUCUGUGGCCUCCGUGCAGCCUAGGGACAGGUCACAGGCUCUUGUCUGUUGCCCGUGGUUGUGGGUUUAUUCCCAGGUGUUGGCUGUGCUGCGUUGUCCUUCCCUUCUGGAAAGUCGUGCCUGUGUGUGCGUGUUCCCCUUCCUUUCCUUGUUUGUGUUUGUGGAGUGGUUGAGCGGCUGUGCUUUCCCUUUAGGCCUCCACAAAGAUGGCUGCAGCUUAGCUUUGACUUCCCAGGGGGGAAUGGAGGACUUUGGUGCAUGCCGCAAAAGGGGUGUUCCCUCUUAGUCCUGCGAGCGCAGCGAGUGUCCUGUCUUCCUACUAUUUUCCUUAGUGCAGAUCAGAGCCACACGGUAGUUCUGUGGCCAAGGCCUCCCUGUAGCCAGGGCUUGGGCCUGUCCUUGCGUGGCCGCCUGUCCUGCUGGCGGCGGUGACAGCCCCGUACUCGGGGUGUGUGUCCCAAGCUUCGGAGCCCUCUGUCCCUGAGCAGCCCGCCCGCCCUGUAAUCAGGUGUGGGGAGGCUGCAGCGUUGCAGCCGGCUGCUUUAGCCAUCCAGCUGGUGGGAGUGACCCCUCCCUGUCCCGUCAGAGGGUGCAGGUUGAGGUGCUGUUUGUGUGUGGGGUGACCUCCCCGCUCGGUGGGUCGAGGUAGCUCCCUGGGCUUCCAAAGACGAGACGUUGGUGAUGUUCUGCUGCUGCCGGGCGGGCCAGCCUGUAACUCAGGCGUUGGCGGGAGCCUCGUGCUCCGCGGGGCUUCUUGAAGAGGGUGAGGUGUGGGGGUACCGUCCUGUAGGCAGGGCUGUGUGUGCCCCCCGUGUGUGCUUGGUGAGCUGCGUUCUGAGAGACCCCCUGUACUCAGGUGGGAAUGUGGCCCCGGCCUUUCAGAGGCGCGGGGCCGUGAGACGCGGGGUGGGGCUUGCGCCCUCCCUGGAAUCGGGGCUGGGAUCCCGACUGCGGCCUUUGGCCGUGCCGCCCCGCUGCCUGGCUGCUGAGAGUUGCUCCUGCCGCUGGGGGGGAAACCGAGCUCUGUGGCUCCAGGGGUGUUGUCCACCCGCCUGUAAUCAGGGUCUGGGUGCGCGAGCGUUUGUGCUCUGCUGGCAGCCUGUGUGGGGUGACCGCCCCGCUAGCGGGGUGUGGGUCGAGGUGCCCCGGACUGGGAGAGAAGGAGCCUCCCUCGGCCGUAGGGAUGGGGGCUGCCCUGUAAGUCAGGGAGCAUCUGUGUCCCGGAGUCCCAGGCCCUUUUCAAUGGCGGCAGUGGCCGGGGGUCCCCUGUAAGCAGGGAAGCUGACUCUUUGGCUGCUGCUUUUUGUGUGCCCAGCCCCAUUUGCCCAGUCUGCCCGCCUCUGUGAUCCCCCGCAGCACUGGCUGGAAGUCCGCCGCGUGUCAGUGAGGAGCUGCUGCAGAAGGAAGAAGAAGAAGCGGCGUGGGGACCUGGGAGGCAGGAGCAAGCAAGAAGAGGAAGCGGAAGCGUGCAGAUGCGGGGGGGAAGGAGAGAGGCUCCCUGGGCAAAGCACCUGUCCCGUUAGCAGGGGCACAGUCACGUUUGAGUUGAGAGCUGCCGGCGCCUUUGGUGACCAGGCUGGCGUUGUGCUGGGCGACCUCCCCGUAAGCGGGGCUCGGGUCUUUGCUGUAGUUGGCCUUUUGCCUUGCUGCUCCUUUGGCUGCCUGGGGAGCGUGGCCCCCUGUAACGGAGGGCGAGAGCCACCUCUCCGCACCUGAGUGGGAAAUGGAGCUCGCCGGACCCCAAGGCCACCCUGUAAGCAGGGUAGUGCCGUUUCCCUGCCCCUCUUCCUCCCCCGGCCCCUCGGCAUCGUUGCCUGAUGGUGGCUUGUCAACGCGACGGCCCCGUACUCGGGGUGUGUGUCCCAAGCUUCGGAGCCCUCUGUCCCUGAGCAGCCCGCCCGCCCUGUAAUCAGGUGUGGGGAGGCUGCAGCGUUGCAGCCGGCUGCUUUAGCCAUCCAGCUGGUGGGAGUGACCCCUCCCUGUCCCGUCAGAGGGUGCAGGUUGAGGUGCUGUUUGUGUGUGGGGUGACCUCCCCGCUCGGUGGGUCGAGGUAGCUCCCUGGGCUUCAAAGACGAGACGUUGGUGAUGUUC
rnacentral:lncRNA from 1 species